rnacentral:snRNA from 1 species
GGAUGUGAGGGCGAUCUGGCUGCGACAUCUGUCACCCCAUUGAUCACCAGGGUUGAUUUGGCUGAUCUGGCUGGCUAGGCGGGUGUCCCCUUCCUCCCUCACCACUCCAUCUGCGUCCCUCCCAAAGCUGCAUGCUUGGUCGAGGAGGACGACCUUCCCCGAAUAGAGGAGGACCGGUCUUCGGUCAAGGGUAUACGAGUAGCUGCACUCUCCUGCUAGAACCUCCAAACAAGCUCUCAAGAUGGUUUAGGGUAUUAAAUCAUUAAGUAACCUCUUGAAAUUUUAUUUUAGUUAAACAUUUUUCAUA